rnacentral:rRNA from 1 species
UACGUAGGGGGCAAGCGUUGUCCGGAAUUAUUGGGCGUAAAGAGCGCGUAGGCGGUCCGAUAAGUCGGCUGUGAAAGUCAGGGGCUCAACCCUUGGAAGCCGGCCGAUACUGUCGGACUAGAGUCCGGAAGAGGCGAGUGGAAUUCCCGGUGUAGCGGUGAAAUGCGCAGAUAUCGGGAGGAACACCAAUGGCGAAGGCAGCUCGCUGGGACGGUACUGACGCUGAGGCGCGAAAGCG